rnacentral:RNase_P_RNA from 1 species
AGAGUUAACCAGGCAACCACUGUUUUAUUUUUUAAAAUAGAGGAAAGUCCGGGCUCCAUAGGGCAGGGUGCCAGAUAACUUCUGGGAAGCGUGAGCUUACGACCAGUGCUACAGAAAAUAAACCGCCUAUGGCUUUUUUUAAAAAAGAUCAGGUAAGGUUGAAAUGGUGUGGUAAAAGCACACCGCACAACUGGUAACAGUUUGUGGCAAAGUAAACUCCACUUGGAGCAAGAUCAAACAAGGUAAUAUAUGUUGCCCGCAUUUACACCUGGGUAGAUCGCUUGAGCUAGCGCGUAAGCGCUAUGCCUAGAUGAAUGGUUGUCUAUAACAGAACCCGGCUUAUCGGUUAACUCAAAUA